rnacentral:rRNA from 1 species
UACGUAGGGCGCAAGCGUUAUCCGGAAUUAUUGGGCGUAAAGAGCUCGUAGGCGGUUUGUCGCGUCUGCCGUGAAAGUCCGGGGCUCAACUCCGGAUCUGCGGUGGGUACGGGCAGACUAGAGUGAUGUAGGGGAGACUGGAAUUCCUGGUGUAGCGGUGAGAUGCGCAGAUAUCAGGAGGAACACCGGUGGCGAAGGCGGGUCUCUGGGCCGUAACUGACGCUGAGGAGCGAAAGCAUGGGGAGCGAACAGG